rnacentral:rRNA from 1 species
GCUUGUCUCAAAGAUUAAGCCAUGCAUGUCUAAGUAUAAACUGCUUAUACUGUGAAACUGCGAAUGGCUCAUUAAAUCAGUCAUAAUUUAUUUGAUGGUACCUACUACUCGGAUAACCGUAGUAAUUCUAGAGCUAAUACGUGCGCACAACCCGACUUCUGGAAGGGUCGUAUUUAUUAGAUAACAGACCAGCAGCUUCGGCUAUUGUGGUGAAUCAUAGUAACUAAUCGGAUCGCAUGGGCUAGUCCCGCGACAAACCAUUCAAGUUUCUGCCCCAUCAGCUUUCGACGGUAGUGUAUUGGACUACCGUGGCUUUUACGGGUAACGGAGGAUUAGGGUUCGAUUCCGGAGAGGGAGCCUGAGAAACGGCUACCACAUCUAAGGAAGGCAGCAGG